rnacentral:rRNA from 1 species
AGAGUUUGAUCAUGGCUCAGAACGAACGCUGGCGGCAUGCCUAACACAUGCAAGUCGAACGCUUGUCCGGCUUCGGCCGGACAGGAGUGGCGCACGGGUGAGUAGCGCGUGGGAACCUGCCCUGUUGUGGGGGAUAACCGAGGGAAACUUCGGCUAAUACCGCAUGCGCCCGGGGAAACUCGGGGAAAGAUUUAUCGUAGCAGGAGGGGCCCGCGUCGGAUUAGCUAGUUGGCGGGGUAACGGCCCACCAAGGCUCCGAUCCGUAGCUGGUCUGAGAGGAUGAUCAGCCACACUGGGACUGAGACACGGCCCAGACUCCUACGGGAGGCAGCAGUGGGGAAUAUUGGACAAUGGGCGCAAGCCUGAUCCAGCCAUGCCGCGUGAGUGAUGAAGGCCUUAGGGUUGUAAAGCUCUUUCGCCCGCGACGAUGAUGACGGUAGCGGGAGAAGAAGCCCCGGCUAACUUCGUGCCAGCAGCCGCGGUAAUACGAAGGGGGCGAGCGUUGUUCGGAUUUACUGGGCGUAAAGGGCGCGUAGGCGGCCCUCCUUGUCGCGUGUGAAAGCCCCGGGCUCAACCUGGGAAUUGCGCGCGAAACGGGGGGGCUUGAGUUCGGGAGAGGAGCGUGGAAUUCCCAGUGUAGAGGUGAAAUUCGUAGAUAUUGGGAAGAACACCGGUGGCGAAGGCGGCGCUCUGGACCGAGACUGACGCUGAGGCGCGAAAGCGUGGGGAGCAAACAGGAUUAGAUACCCUAGUAGUCC